ACGGCUGUAGAUAUAGGUCUUU
rnacentral:miRNA from 1 species